UAGCCGGCUAGUAACAGGUUCAGGGUAGAGUACUGGGUGGUAGCCAGCUAGUUACCGGUUCAGGGUAGAGUACUGGGUGGUACCUGGCUAGCAACAGGUUCAGGGUAGAGUACCGGGUGGUAGCCAGCUAGUAACAGGUUCAGGGUAGAGUACCGGGUGGUAGCCGGCUAGUAACAGGUUCAGGGUAGAGUACCGGGUGAUAGCCGGCUACUAACAGAUUCAGGGUAGAGUACUGGGUGGUAGCCGGCUAGUGACAGGUUCAGGGUAGAGUACCGGGUGGUAGCCAGCUAGUAACAGGUUCAGGGUAGAGUACCGGGUGGUAGCCAGCUAGUAACAGUAACUAAGGUUCAGGGUAGAGUACCGGGUGGUAGCCAGCUAGUAACAGGUUCAGGGUAGAGUACCGGGUGGUAGCCGGCUAGUAACAGGUUCAGGGUAGAGUACCGGGUGGUAGCCAGGUAGUAACAG
rnacentral:lncRNA from 1 species